GACGAACGCUGGCGGCGCGCUUAACACAUGCAAGUCGAGCGAGAACCAGGACUUCGGUCCUGGGGACAGCGGCGAACGGGUGAGUAACACGUGGAUAACCUGCCCUCGGCACCGGGAUAGCCCGGGGAAACCCGGAUUAAUACCGGAUGGCCCUUCCGGCUCACGAGCCGGUCGGAAAAGGUAGCUUCGGCCUCCGGCCGAGGAUGGGUCCGCGGCGGAUUAGCUUGUUGGUGGGGUAACGGCCUACCAAGGCUCCGAUCCGUAGCUGGUCUGAGAGGACGAACAGCCAAACUGGGACAGAGACACGGCCCAGACGCCUACGGGAGGCAGCAGUGGGGAAUCUUGCGCAAUGGGCGAAAGCCUGAUGCAGCGACGCCGCGUGAGGGAGGAAGGCCUUCGGGUUGUAAACCUCUUUCAGGAGAGACGAAGCCACUCGGGUUAAUAGCCUAGAGGGUGACGGUACCUCCAGAAGAAGUCCCGGCUAACUACGUGCCAGCCGCCGCCGUAA
rnacentral:rRNA from 1 species